rnacentral:rRNA from 1 species
GAAUCUGCCUUCAGGUCUGGGACAACCACUGGAAACGGUGGCUAAUACCGGAUGUGCCCUUAGCGGUGAAAGGUUAACUGCCUGAAGAUGAGCUCGCGUCUGAUUAGCUAGUUGGAAGUGUAAUGGACUCCCAAGGCGACGAUCAGUAGCUGGUCUGAGAGGACGAUCAGCCACACUGGGACUGAGACACGGCCCAGACUCCUACGGGAGGCAGCAGUGGGGAAUUUUCCGCAAUGGGCGAAAGCCUGACGGAGCAAUACCGCGUGAGGGAGGAAGGCUCCUGGGUCGUAAACCUCUUUUCUCAGGGAAGAACACAAUGACGGUACCUGAGGAAUAAGCAUCGGCUAACUCCGUGCCAGCAGCCGCGGUAAUACGGAGGAUGCAAGCGUUAUCCGGAAUGAUUGGGCGUAAAGCGUCCGCAGGUGGCUAUGUAAGUCUGCUGUUAAAGAGUCUACUCAACUAGAUAAGAGCAGUGGAAACUACAUGGCUAGAGUGCGUUCGGGGCAGAGGGAAUUCCUGGUGUAGCGGUGAAAUGCGUAGAGAUCAGGAAGAACACCGGUGGCGAAGGCGCUCUGCUAGGCCGCAACU